rnacentral:rRNA from 1 species
AUUGAACGCUGGCGGCAGGCCUAACACAUGCAAGUCGAACGAGUGGCGGACGGGUGAGUAAUGUCUGGGAAACUGCCUGAUGGAGGGGGAUAACUCCUGGAAACGGUAGCUAAUACCGCAUACCAUCAGAUGUGCCCAGAUGGGAUUAGCUUGUUGGUGGGGUAACGGCUCACCAAGGCGACGACCCCUAGCUGGUCCGAGAGGAUGACCAGCCACACUGGGACGGAGACCCGGUCCAGGCUCCUGGGGGAGGCAGCAGUGGGGAGUAUUGCAGGAGGGGCGGAAGCCUGAUGCAGCCAUGGGGCGUGGAUGAAGAAGGCCUUCGGGUUGUAAAGUACUUUGGGCGGGGAGGCGUGACCCGCAGAAGAAGCGCGGGCUAACUCCGUGCAAGCAGCCGCGGUAAUAC